rnacentral:rRNA from 1 species
AUGGCCGCGCCACCAUGCAAGGCACAACAAACUCUAUGUCAUCGCGUGUGCGCCAUACUUCCCGAUGAGAUCAUGGAGGAAAUCUUUGUGAGGCUGCCACCGAAAACAGUGGGCCGGUGCCGCUGCCUCUCGCGCACCUGGGCCGCGGCGCUCUCCCAUGACGCCUUCGUCGACCGCCAUCGCCGUCUCGCCAGCGGCCGCGGCGGUCUCAAGCUUUUCUUCCUCCACGACGCGAAGGCGGGCAACAUGGAGGUACGAUCAUGGUCACUUGCUGGCCGCUCCCUCGCCGCAUCAGCCGUAGCCGUCUUCCCGGAUGGCAUGCGCACCAGAUGCAGCUCGCGGUGUCACGGGCUCGUCAUCAUGGAGAACACCGCGACGGGGAUCCACUACGUCUGCAACCCGUCCACGGGCGAGAUGGCCGCGCUUCCCAGGGUGCGGCCGCAUAACAGGAAGACAGAUGAGAGCCUGGGGAUCGGCUACGACGCGCGCAGCAAGAAUCACAAGGUGGUACGUAUCUCCUACUCCAACCACAGGGGCUUUGACGGCACCGAUUUCCGCACGCUUUGUGAGGUCUACGAAAUCAACUCCAGGGGCGCCUGGCGACCACCGGCGAGCAGCUCCGCACUGGGCAUGGUGAAAUUGGACAAUAUGUGCGUCUCUGCGCAAGGCCACCUAUAUUGGAAGUGGCUCGGGCGACAGAACCCGAGGAUAACCUCUUUCUCGCUCUCCGAUGAGGCUUUCAAGGCCUUGCCGCCGCCGCCGUCCUGCCAUGGUAUAGACCAGCUUUACGGGCUGGCGGAGCUCGGGGGACGCUUGUGCCUCUUCGGCACCGCUACCGAACCUGUACAACAACAUAGCAUAUGGUUGUUGCGCGACCACGAGGCCGGUGUGUGGGAUCUACACUGCCGCAUAGACCUGAAUGCGGCGUGGCCGCUGGAGGUCACGCAGUUCUCGAUAGGCCGGAGCAGCCCCAGCCCACUCGCCUUCAUCGACGAUGACCGCCGCAUCCUGUUCAGGGUGUACUGCAAGUUGUCAAAAGAGGAAAGAUCCAAGAGCGCUUACAAACUGUAUGCGUACAACCCUGCGACCGGCAAUGCCGAGAGCCUUGGCUUUCUCCCCCACAGGAGCACGCCACCCGAGUUGUAUGAGGAAAGUGUCGUCUCCACAGGUAGGCCAUUCGAAGACAUUGUGUCCUCAUCCCCGUCUCAAGAGGCGUAG